AGCGAACGCUGGCGGCAGGCCUAACACAUGCAAGUCGAACGCUCCGCAAGGGGAGUGGCAGACAGGUGAGUAACACGUGGGAAUCUUCCUAUUGGUUCGGAAUAGCUCAGGGAAACUUGGGGUAAUACCGUAUAAGCCCGUGAGGGGAAAGAUUUAUCGCCGAUAGAUGAGCCCGCGUCUGAUUAGCUAGUUGGUGAGGUAACGGCUCACCAAGGCGACGAUCAGUAGCUGGUCUGAGAGGAUGACCAGCCACACUGGGACUGAGACACGGCCCAGACUCCUACGGGAGGCAGCAGUGGGGAAUAUUGGACAAUGGGCGCAAGCUUGAUCCAGCCAUGCCGCGUGAGUGACGAAGGUCUUCGGAUUGUAAAACUCUUUUGCCAGGGACGAUAAUGACGGUACCUGGAGAAUAAGCCCCGGCUAACUUCGUGCCAGCCGCCGCGGUAAUAC
rnacentral:rRNA from 1 species